rnacentral:rRNA from 1 species
AUAAACGCUGGCGGCGCACAUAAGACAUGCAAGUUGAACGGACUUAAUCGAAAUAUUUAUAUUUUGAAGCGGUUAGUGGCGGACUGGUGAGUAACGCGUAAGGAACCUGCCUAUUAGAGGGGAAUAACAGUGAGAAAUCAUUGCUAAUACCGCAUAUGCCAUAGAUAUCACAUGAUAACAGUGGGAAAGGAGCAAUCCGCUAAUAGAUGGCCUUGCGUCUGAUUAGAUAGUUGGUGGGGUAACGGCCUACCAAGUCGACGAUCAGUAGCCGGACUGAGAGGUUGAACGGCCACAUUGGGACUGAGAUACGGCCCAGACUCCUACGGGAGGCAGCAGUCGGGAAUAUUGCGCAAUGGAGGAAACUCUGACGCAGUGACGCCGCGUAUAGGAAGAAGGUUUUCGGAUUGUAAACUAUUGUCGUUAGGGAAGAGAAAGGACAGUACUUAAGGAGGAAGCUCCGGCUAACUACGUG